rnacentral:lncRNA from 1 species
UCCUUUAGGACUAGUUAAGAUGAGCUCAGCCCCUGCUCCUACCACAUUUGAUGAGCCAUCGGCAUGUAGUGUCCAUAGCUCUUUCAGGUCAGAUCCUGUAUCUGCCUCUUCAAUUCUCAACCUUUCUCCAGCUUUCAAGACUUUUGUAGCUUCUGAGCUUUGUCCAUCUAAGAUGGAGCAUUCAAGGAUAAAGUAUGCCAGCACCUGGGUC